UACAGAGGGGGCAAGCGUUAUUCGGAAUUAUUGGGCGUAAAGGGCGCGUAGGCGGCCUGACAAGUGGAAGGUGAAAUCCCUCGGCUUAACCGAGGAACUGCCCUCCAAACUGUCUGGCUUGAGACCGGGAGAGGUGAGUGGAAUUCCCAGUGUAGCGGUGAAAUGCGUAGAUAUUGGGAGGAACGCCAGUGGCGAAGGCGGCUCACUGGACCGGUACUGACGCUGAUGCGCGAAAGCGUGGGGAGCAAACGGG
rnacentral:rRNA from 1 species